rnacentral:rRNA from 1 species
UACGUAGGCAGCGAGCGUUGUUCGGAAUUACUGGGCGUAAAGAGUGUGUAGGCGGUGCUCUAAGUUCGGUGUGAAAUCUCCUGGCUCAACUGGGAGGGUGCGCCGGAAACUGGAGUGCUUGAGCGUGGGAGAGGAAAGCGGAAUUCCGGGUGGAGCGGUGAAAUGCGUAGAGAUCCGGAGGAACACCGACGGCGUAGGCAGCGCCCUAGACGAGACCUGACACUCAGGCACGAAAGCGCGGGGAGCGAACAGG